GCAGAGCCGCGCUGCUGGAGGCAGCUGCUUGGUGCAGCGGCCCGGGCACCCUGGGUUUUGUUUUUUUAGUUUUUUUUUUUUAAUUUAAUUUGUAUCCGAGGCCAAAUUAGCCAAAACUAAUUCCAAAUCCAUGAGUCCAGACCCAUAAGUGGCCCUGUCCCUGGCAAAUAUCCUCCACCCGCACCUGGGGCUUCAGAUGUUUCCAAAAGCUUUGGCGGGCGUCCCACGUGCGGGCCCGUAGGGGUCCGGAGGCCCCCGAGCUCUGCUUGCCCUCAGCCGUAAGCCCUGGGAGCAAGUAAGAGAGGAGCCUGAGCCUGAGCCUGCUCCUGGGUUUGCUGCCAGCGCUUUCUUAUGAAAGAAAGAAGCACUUCAGUCUGGGUGACCCUGGUCUCGCUCGCUUGCUGGAGUUACGGCUGAGCAACGUCAAGUAAAACUUGUGUGCCUAUUUUUUUUUUAGCAUGCAAUUGUUUUUCAGCAAAUACGGUAAUUUGGUGCUUCUAAUACGACUGAAGCGGGGCAGCGCUGUUGCAGCCGUUCCGCGCGCCGCCUUGUUUAUGGUGGAGCGCGGCAGUGGUGGUUUAACCCCGUGCGUCGCAGAGGCGGAAGGUGGGGGGCUGCCCUCGUGCAGGUGAGCUCAGCACCCUGGGUGUCUAGAGCAGUGUUUCCCAACCUUUUCCAGCUCAAGGCACGCUUAUAUUAAUAAAAGUUUUCCCGUGGCACACCUGUUAAGGCAUUCCCUAUCCUUGCAUCUAUUGUGGCUUGUUGCCGUGGCAACAGUCUGGCACGCCUGUUCAUUUCUGACGGCACACUUUUGUGCCGUGGCUGGUUGGGAAACACUGGUUUAGAGAGACGGGGAGCAUAAGCUGCCUGAGCCCAAAUUCACGGGCAUCUGCUGACCUUGAGGUCAGGACAGCAGGUGCUGUCCUGUCUACAGACUUCUCAGAGGGGCAGGACUGCCCGCCUUCUGCCUGAUGCCAGGCUAACACAGCAACCCGCUCUCUCUGCCCCUGCUUGUCUUCCAGCAGUGGUGCCCCGCCUUCCCCCCUUGGGCUGGAUGGCUGGGGCUCAGGCCAUGGGCUGGAUCCGGCCUGCAAGCCCGAUACAGCACGUGGGGCGAUGAGGCAGGGCCCGCUCUUGGCCUGGCUCCCAAUCCAGCCACAGGGAGGGAGUGUGGGGGGCCCCACAGGCCGGAUGCCCCAGCUCCAUGGGCUGCGUUUGGCCCGUAGGCUGGAGGUUGAGCACCCUGUUUUACGUGCUUUAAGACUGAUAUAACUCUUGCACCUUUUGUCCCCCAGAGACUAGCUUUCUGGGGUCCUCGGUUUGUUCUUUCAUCAUUAGGCUGUUCGCUCCUUCAAAAAUAAACUAAUGCACAGAAACUAGUGAGUUAUUUAAACGGGGAUGUUGAACGUGCUCUGAAACCCUGACUGAAGUCUGGAACGUGCUUCCUUCUUGGAAGGGAAGAGUUUUUGUUUUCCCCUAGCAAAUAUCAGCUAGGUUAUUUUUGAGAGGUUUGCAAUAUUUGCAUGAGGCUGAAACUGAGCAGACAUUAGUCAAAAUAAGACUGGCUUUUUUGGAGUUCUGAAUCGGAACGGUUUGUGUCGGGAGGAGGGGAAUUAUAGAUCCCUUUUAAACACCUUUUUGUGACGCUCGUGUAUUUUUAUCAUCACAAAAAGAAUCGCGCAAGUACGCUGUUCCGCUUCAAUAAGGACUCUCAGAUAUCUAUGGGCAAAGGAACAAAACAAGCUGUUGGCGUUACGAAAGUCGGUUGGUGCAGGAAUUCUCAAAGGACUGCUGAUGGGAGCUUCCACCUGCCUUUUUGACAGCAGAGCUCUUUCAGGGGAGAUUGCUGGCAGCUGUAUCUUGAUAGGAAACCCUGUGUUAACUUGUCUUGACAGAAAUUGUGGCUCAUAGAGACAUACAGUCAUUUUACUGAAGCUUUUUUUGGAAUAUGUUUUCUGUCUGAGCAAUAGUGAGGGCUCUUGAGACAUGACACUGAACUGCACUGAUGUGCAGAAAAAUAACUUAUGAAUGCUUUCUCCAGGUGCAGUGUAUUUUCAACUUGUUCUCUGCUGAAUUUAGAACAGGAUGAGUGGAUGAAUGCAAAAUUACAAGUAAUGUAAUAAGAACGAACCCAUUCCCCCUUCUGGCAGCUGGAUCUUCCUGGGAGGUCAUAGAUGAUCUGCUCCUCCUCCACCUGCCAGGAUCCUGCAGGGAAGUCCGGGAUACCCUUCUCUCACCUGUGGCACCAAGAUCUCUUCCUCUGACCGGCUCCCUAUCUGGGUCAGCACCCGUUUUCCAAGAAACGGAUCUUUUUUCGCCAGGACUAUUUUUUUUUAAAGUGGAAUAACACGCAAGAAAGCAGUGCUGUGUCUGCAACUAACAAACGAGCAAUGUUUCUGAGAACAUAAUAAAGGUAUUGUUGUACCAUAGCCGUAACAUUUCAUCCAAGGUAAUUGCUAAGUAACACUGGGUCACUUUCCAGUCCAGUCCUCAUCUGUUUUCAGAUGUUAGCAAAGAGUAAGUAAAAAAACCCACCAAGAGAACUCUGUAUAUACCUUAUUUGAUACAUGAUUACAAACAAUAAAAUAGGAUUCAUUUAAUGUUUGAAUGAUAAGUAAAUUUGAAAAAUGACUUUAAAUUUAAACUAAAGAUGGUUCUUGAGAGACUCGGAUAUCUUAUACCAGGACAAAAUCUGGUCCCUGCCAGAACAUAUGACUUGCCAUAUUAGAUCAGACCAGCGGUUCAUUUAGUGACAUUAAGUUGCUUUAGAGAAAAUGAUGCGAUUUAGUACAGUUAUGGAUUUAACCUGCUUACAGGGACUCUUUCAUCCUAACUCCUCUCCUGUAGAAGUUAUUUAGUCCUUGUAGAAUUUUUUAAAUUUUUUUUGCUAUUGUAACCGUAUCUUGAUCUGUAUAAAUGUCAAGGUCAUUUGAAGCUCUUGGCUUCUAUGAUACCUCAUGGUAAUGCGUUCCAUGGACAAAUAGUAUAUUGUAUUAAAAAUAUUUUUAUCCAUUUUAAGUCUUCUCACUUCAGAGUCCAGGGGAUGACUCCUUGUCUUUGUAUUACGAGAGAGAAUGAAUGAAUGGUUUGAUUUAGUACUCUCAUAUUAAUAAUUACUUAGUAUCACUGUCUCUUAUUUUUCUCCUCUAAAGUAAACAGCCUCCAUCUUAUCUAGUGGUAUAUUUUUAACAUAUGUUGGGGCAGCACGCAGAGUCUCAGUUAAAAAAUAAUCAUGGAGCAUUAAUUUAGGGCAGAGUUUCCUUUUGGAAAAGGACUAUCUAAGAAUAAUACCUUACUUAAUAGAGCUAUUCUCUGCGUGUAUUCAGGUUGUACCUUGCUGGCUUUGGCUACUGUUAGAGAACCAGAGCAGCUCGGAGGGAAUAAGCAGGAUUCUGUUAAUUCUUGAACAUCAUCAGUAGAAUUAGUGACUGAAUUCCAAUCAGUUACAGCUGUGCAGACAUAUUGAGGCAAAGUACAAACUGUUUAGGGGAAAAAUGACUGCAGGAAGCAUUAAAAACGACUAGAUGGACUGACUUCUGAGAGAGCGAAGAGCCUCGCCUCACAGGAAAAGGCCUUAAUGGAGCAAAAUACGUGUUGUGAAAGUAUGUGGUGACUGAGGAAGAUGAGAGAACCACUUUCUACAAAUAUGUUAAUAAUGUAAAGGAGAGAAAAUAGUUAUUAAGGUGAUAUACAAUUGCAUUUUGUUACCUAAGAAUUUUGAGAUGGAAUUUAGAAAGGGAAGAUUACUAAGUCCAUAAGAUGCAUUAGCCUAUAGACUAAUUGAUUUUUAAUGGCACUAAUUGAAAUUCUGUCUCCCAAUUUGUUCAGAAUGAAAAAAGUCCUACUAUAAAUGCACUCCAGGGAGACAGGCUAUAGGUCUUUCACAUUCAAGCUACUAUGCAGUUAGUUUAAUGAGAAAAAUUAAUUCUUUAACCAGUUCAUUUACUGACCUCUGGAAACUAUGAUUAAACUUUUGCUUUAGACCUCUUCAGAUUUUAGGGAGCUUUGUCAUGUGAAUAAAAUCCAUAUUGAUGGCUUUUCCAAUAAGGAGAAUGCGAUUGAUAAAUACAGGAAGGUUGCAUGAGAAGACUCCCUGGCUACUAGUAUUUCUGAUUGGCUCCAGUCUCUUCUGUUACCUGUGUCUCUUAUGAACUUGAAUCUGGUCUCCUGAAAUCUUACAUUGCAUUUUAUUGUUGUGGAAGAAGGGAAAAAUGGAGUUGAAUCUCCAUUAUAUGUAAGAAUAAAUAAAAAAAACAUAUACCCAGCUUGGCUAUGAGGAAGUCACAAGGGCAUGACCCAAAACCGCCAGACUAACACAAGAUGGGGACCAUCCUGCCCUGGUCUAGUAAAAAACAAAAGCUUAGCACAAAAGUAACCACAAACCAGCCUGCUGAGUCGGCCCAAAAUGGGACGUGAACCCUAAGUUACAAGUUAGACAAGAGAUAGUAAAAUUUUUGCUAACAUAAUCAUAAAACAAGACAUGCGCUUUACUAACAAAGUCAUGACAAAUGCUGAUUGGUAUAUGUCGUUGCUAUGCUUAUGAUGUCAUAUUUUCUAUAUGAACUCGCCUCAUCUGUUGUACGAGGUCAGACCUCUUCACAAUUCUCCAAUUGUGUAUGAGUCUGUUCAGAAUGCAUUCUCUAAUAAACCAAGCUUCUG